ensembl:lncRNA
AAAAAGGUGAAGACCUGUGAUGUAUUGAGAGAAAAGGAGAGGACCCAUCCCAGAACCCACAGCAGGAAGGACAUGGUCGGCGAGCCUGGCUGCAGAGGAAACCCAAGCUCACACUAGAGAGGGAGGAGCAUCUGGGAGAAAGGGCUGAGCAACAGCGCCAAAGGUUAUGCAGAAGCUGGGGAUGAGGACUGAGAAAAGGCCAUUGGAAAGAGCCAGACUCCCAAAGGUUGGGAAGGGAGUGGAAGGUAAGAAAGCGGAGGCAGCCACUGGACACCGCUUAUCCAGAACUCGGUCUAAGAAAGAGGAAGGAAGAUACCAGCAGGCAGGUCGAGGGCUAUCUGUCCAAACUGGGCUGCAGCUGAGAGCAGGCAGUGAAAUCCUGCAGAAUCAGAGACUCUCCGAACUCCAAAAUGUCUGAGCUGGGAGAGCUCUCAAGCUUCCCGAACUCAGAACACAGAAGGGGAGAGUCGGGAGGAAGCUCGAAGUCCAUCCAGUCUAGGUCCUCAAGUGUGGCCUUUUGACUGAACCCAAACUUCACAGGGCAAAGCCCCUUAGUCUGAUGACCAAGACAUUGAGGCCCAGGGAAGGGAAAGGUCACUCCGGAUGUUAGGGGCAGAGCCUGUUCUGACCGCAAUCUGUUCUCCCGAUCCUCUUUCUGCUGAAAUCCCAGGACACCUGGUCUCCCAGCAACAGCAGGCUCUGAUGAGAAGUGCAGGCAGGGAACGGCUUCAGAACUCCCCCGAGACGAAAGAGCCUUGGCACCUCAGCUUCCUGGUCCCAGGGCCGCCCCAGACAAAGCAUCAGCCAAAAUCCAGGGCCCCAGGGGUAGUUUCUGCCUCUCUAUCUCUCCAGGCCACCCCAGCUCUCAGCUCUCCGCAUGGCCUGGGGAACGUUGCUGGUGCUUUUCUUGUUGGAAACGGAGGGACGGCUGCCAUCCUGGUGCACAGAUAUGGGAGGCCGAGAUGGUCCUGCUUCCCUUCAGCAAUAGCUCUGAAAAGCUACAUGGUGCCUGGGACAAUUGUGGGCUCUUCGAGGCAGUUGGCUGGCAAUGAGAUGCCCAGGUGGGCAGACCUCUUUGACAAGAUGGGAGGAAAGGCUUCUGAGGAUUGAACCCGUCUCCAAACCAAAACCAAAUUACACUUCCCUUCCUUCAUCUGAACAGCUAGGUGCCUCCCCACCCCAGGAAGGGCCAGAAGUACUUGUUCUAAGUCAGCUAAGUCAUCCCAGAUGUGGGGCUGCUCUUCCCCAUAGGCCCACUGACCUAACCUUGACCUUUAAGCCUAACCCUGAAUGUGCACCCAGCUGAAAGGCAAUUUGAGGACUUUUAAAAAAUAGGAAGUCCCAUAAGGGAGAAGAGGCAGACUUGUCCUUUUUCACCAUCACCCCCUCAUUGUGGCAGGCAUGACCCAUCACAAAGCAGGGUAUUGUCUGGUCUCACCAUCAAUUGUUUGGUGGAGAACCAGCAGCCAUAUUCAAUCACCCUGACUUGAGUAAGCCUAGAGUGAGCAUCAUCUCCUGGGUUCCUUUAGGGUCUCUUGCUGCAAUUAUCUUCUUCCAUAGGAUAAGAGAGACAGAUUUCCUCUUUGAAUUUCUAGUCAAUGCCAGUUCUGUCCAAGUUGGCCAGUGGGUUACCAUGAAGCCACCUCCCCUCAUGGGGAGGAUGUUCCCAAGUGUCCCAAGCAACACCCUUAGGAGAUUCAGGAGGGCCUCCCCUUGGGGAGCUUUCUCUCCAGGGUCCCUUUGGACUCAGCAAAAGGAAAGUGAAGUUGUAUCACUCCAUCAAGUCAUUGAGGCAGCAGCACACGGACAAGAAGCCAUUUGCUGGCCACUGACCAAGUCACCUUUUCCAGGUGGGGGUUUGGGGAUUAGGGAGCAUGCCGCCCCUCGGCCAGGACAACACAGACCUUGCCUAGAUCUGAACCUAGAGAGUGACAGCCCACCUAAGGUCAAAAUAGGGGAAAGAGAAGAAAAAGGAUGUGAUGUGAGGCGAAGACCGACACAGCAGACAGACGAGGGAAACCACCCAGGGCUGUGGCAAGUUGCCGUGGGUCCCAUUCUGUCUGUUUUUAGGCUCCCCAAAGUGAACUGAUUUUUAGGAAAGCCUAUUAAAAGGGGAAGACAAUUAAAACUACUGCCAGGAUAAGAAUAAAACCAAACCACAAAACUGGAGAAACA